rnacentral:rRNA from 1 species
GACGAACGCUGGCGGCGUGCUUAACACAUGCAAGUCGAACGGAAAGGCCCUGCUUUUGUGGGGUGCUCGAGUGGCGAACGGGUGAGUAACACGUGAGUAACCUGCCCUUGACUUUGGGAUAACUUCAGGAAACUGGGGCUAAUACCGGAUACGAGCUCCUGCUGCAUGGUGGGGGUUGGAAAGUUUCGGCGGUUGGGGAUGGACUCGCGGCUUAUCAGCUUGUUGGUGGGGUAGUGGCUUACCAAGGCUUUGACGGGUAGCCGGCCUGAGAGGGUGACCGGCCACAUUGGGACUGAGAUACGGCCCAGACUCCUACGGGAGGCAGCAGUGGGGAAUAUUGCACAAUGGGCGGAAGCCUGAUGCAGCAACGCCGCGUGCGGGAUGACGGCCUUCGGGUUGUAAACCGCUUUCGCCUGUGACGAAGCGUGAGUGACGGUAAUGGGUGAAGAAGCACCGGCUAACUACGUG